rnacentral:rRNA from 1 species
UGAGGAAUAUUGGUCAAUGGGCGCAAGCCUGAACCAGCCAUCCCGCGUGCAGGAAGACGGCCCUAUGGGUUGUAAACUGCUUUUCCAGGGGACGAAUAGUUUCUACGUGUAGAGACAUGACGGUACCUUGGGAAUAAGCAUCGGCUAACUCCGUGCCAGCAGCCGCGGUAAUACGGAGGAUGCAAGCGUUAUCCGGAUUCAUUGGGUUUAAAGGGUGCGUAGGCGGAUUGAUAAGUCAGUGGUGAAAUCCUACAGCUUAACUGUAGAACUGCCAUUGAUACUGUUAGUCUUGAGUUUGGUUAAGGUAGGCGGAAUGUGUAAUGUAGCGGUGAAAUGCUUAGAUAUUACACAGAACACCAAUUGCGUAGGCAGCUUACUGGACCGACACUGACGCUGAGGCACGAAAGCGUGGGGAUCGAACA